UCAAUUUCAAGAUCAUUCCAUCUCAAAUUCAUCAAGGCUAGAGUCCAUCUGAUACCCUUAACUAGGGUUUUGACCCAAAGUUAAAUGUUUGACUUUUUAGCCUAGGCAUGAUCCCAAAGCUUGAAGUAUGAUUCAAAUACUUCAAAUACAUCAUAAGUGAUCCAUUCACAUUAUCCAAUGUGCCCAAGAGAUCCCAUUCAUUAAAGAUUGUAAGAAUUGGAUUCAUCUGAUACAAAGUCAACUGAGGCAAAGUCAACGUUUGACUUUUGACAUUUUUG
rnacentral:lncRNA from 1 species